rnacentral:lncRNA from 1 species
UGAAUUCAUGUGACAGAUGAGUCAGAAGCUCUUCGUCAUUAUUGGACCUAAUUUUGCGCAAGGUUGGGUGAUUGAAUCAGUGAAGACAAAGCUAAACAAAGAAUCAUGAAGGCGAGUACUAGAAAGGGUGGUUGUUGGCGUAGGUUGAGUUCAGAUUGUCUAACCAUUUGUAAGGAGUCAGGACGUUUAUUUAUAGGUGAUAAGGAGUCAUCUCGAGGACUGGUGAUAUUAUGGAUGGAUUGUGUAAAAGAGGGAGCUUGUUACUUAGCCACUUAAUCUUGUAAUCUUAAGUGUCUUUAUUGUCUGAAAUAGCAACCUGGGGUCAGUGUCGUUUGCCUUAGUAUAGAGGCUAAUUAUGUCGCCCAUGUGACCUGCUGUGCCUGAGUUUCUAUGUGGCAGAAGGGAAAGGGUUUGGAUGAGACAAGACCAUUGGUGCCAAAAAGGGGAGUGCAGAUGGAUUCUAUGUGGAGUACCAUUGAUGCCCACUCUGACCUGAGAUCGUACUUAGGAACCACAAAAGGUGCAGGGCCUUCAAAGGGUAGACCGACGAUUCGUCAAGUUCACUCCAGCUCCGAGUCUAGAGACGACUUGAGUAUCCACUGUUUCAGGAAGGUGUGAAAUUGGGUCCCACAAUUGCCCUCAUGGGGUAUUGUUACUAAGACCAUGUUACCUUUCUCGGAUCGAGAUUUGCCACUCCGCGGGGCUUUCUUAGUAUUUGGUCGCAUGGGUCAACAUUUGACAUUUUGAAGAGGUAGGCUUAGUCGACUGUUGGGUGAGCCAAUUUGGGAAGAUAGAGUUAAUGAAGGGAAAUCUAUGAGAUUCAUGUAUGGGAUUUCUAAAUGACUAUCAUGCAUAUGCAAAACAAUUAUGAUAUACGAAAGCAGCGGAAGCAUUUAUAACAUAUUAUCAAAGCUAUAGUCAUGCAAAUCCCCUUCAAGGUUCAUAGGUUUAUAUAUAAUGCAUCAAAACAAAUUAUAGAAUCAAGAACAAAGUGAAGGUUAGUCUUAUACCUCUUGAUCUAGACUUGAGACCAAGGAUGGACCACCUCCAAGCCCUUUGCUCCUUGAAAUCCUUGAGCCUAGCUUCCCUCCUUGCCUCCUCCACUUUGAAAGAAUGAGUGCUCCUAGGUUCUCUUCAAGUUUCCAAAGUAGGAAACCUCUAAAGAUCCUCACCCACUAAUGUAGUGAGAAGGAUGAAGGAAUAACCAAAAGGGUGAAAGAUUGUUAGCUAAAACACCCCAAUGGUGGCCAGCCCUUUGAUGUGUUAGAGAGCUUUUUCUUUUGCCUCUUUGUUGUUUAAACACUUCAAAAAACCCUAAUGAACUUUAUCACUAUAAAGUUCCUUAUAUGGACAAACGAAAACCUAGUCAACACUUGACUAAAUAUCUCUCCUUCCCCACAUAAUAUGGCCGGCCCUCUUUGUGUUGUUUUGGGCUUUGGGCUUUCAUUUAUUUCAAGUCAUCCAAUGCUUGAAUAAAAGCCCAAUGGGUUUAGGCCCAAUGGGCCCAAUUAAACCCGAACUUUCUUUAAGCCCAAAACGAUCUUUAUCGCUUUUAUGAUUUCUUUAGACUUUUCUAAAUUAAUCACAACACA